UGUCCCUCAAGCUUUUUAUGUUCCGUUAUCUUACAAUAUAAAAAGCACGGAUAUUCUUGAAAGGUAUCAUAGAAGACUUUCCACUGCAAUAUGAAUUUGAAAUUCUUUUGGCUUCUUGCAGCGUCCCUGUCUGCUGUUUUAUUAGUUAAGGCAAAUGAAUCAGCGGAAAUUCCUGAAGCUCAAGGCAAAGCCCGAAUUACAAUCAAGACGUGAUUAUUUACUGAAGAAACUAUGGGAAGAUGAAUAAAUUAAUUGAUCACUAA